UUUGUUUGGAGAGUUUGAUCCUGGCUCAGGACGAACGCUGGCGGCGUGCUUAACACAUGCAAGUCGAACGGAAAGGUCUCUAAAAAAUCUUUUUUAGAGAUACUCGAGUGGCGAACGGGUGAGUAACACGUGGGUAAUCUGCCCUGCACUUCAGGGAUAAGCUUGGGAAACUGGGUCUAAUACCGGAUAGGACUUCAAGGCGCAUGUCUUGUGGUGGAAAGCUUUUUGCGGUGCAGGAUGG
rnacentral:rRNA from 1 species